rnacentral:rRNA from 1 species
UACGUAGGGUGCAAGCGUUGUCCGGAAUUAUUGGGCGUAAAGAGCUCGUAGGCGGUCUGUCGCGUCGGCUGUGAAAACCUGGGGCUCAACUCCGGGCCUGCAGCCGAUACGGGCUGACUAGAAUUCGGUAGGGGAGACUGGAAUUCCUGGUGUAGCGGUGAAAUGCGCAGAUAUCGGGAAGAACACCCGUGGCGAAGGCGGUUCUCUGGGACGGUACUGACGCUGAGACGCGAAAGCGUGGGGAGCGAACAGG